rnacentral:rRNA from 1 species
UGAAGAGUUUGAUCAUGGCUCAGAUUGAACGCUGGCGGCAGGCCUAACACAUGCAAGUCGAACGGUAACAGGAAGCAGCUUGCUGCUUUGCUGACGAGUGGCGGACGGGUGAGUAAUGUCUGGGAAACUGCCUGAUGGAGGGGGAUAACUACUGGAAACGGUGGCUAAUACCGCAUAACGUCGCAAGACCAAAGAGGGGGACCUUCGGGCCUCUUGCCAUCAGAUGUGCCCAGAUGGGAUUAGCUUGUUGGUGAGGUAACGGCUCACCAAGGCGACGAUCCCUAGCUGGUCUGAGAGGAUGACCAGCCACACUGGAACUGAGACACGGUCCAGACUCCUACGGGAGGCAGCAGUGGGGAAUAUUGCACAAUGGGCGCAAGCCUGAUGCAGCCAUGCCGCGUGUAUGAAGAAGGCCUUCGGGUUGUAAAGUA